GGAUAGUGUAACGGUAGCACGAAAGGUUCAUAACCUUUAAGUUCAGUUCAAAUCUGAUAACUGUGUCCA
rnacentral:tRNA from 1 species